rnacentral:rRNA from 1 species
UAAGCAAGUAGUGAAAGCGUGCGGCUCAACCGCAUAUCCAUUAUUUGAACUGCUAAGCUCGAGGGCGAGAGAGGUAGCUAGAAUUCCUUGUGUAGGAGUGAAAUCCGUAGAUAUAAGGAGGAAUACCGAUGGCGUAGGCAGGCUACUGGCUCGUCCCUGACACUAAGGCACGAAAGCGUGGGAGCGACCGGGAUUAGAUACCCCGUUAGUCCACGCCGUAAACGAUGGAUGCUA